rnacentral:rRNA from 1 species
UACGUAGGCAGCGAGCGUUGUUCGGAGUUACUGGGCGUAAAGAGUGCGUAGGCGGUUUUCUAAGUUUGGUGUGAAAUCUCCCGGCUCAACUGGGAGGGUGCGCCGAAGACUGGAAGGCUUGAGUAUGGGAGAGGUAAGCGGAAUUCCUGGUGUAGCGGUGGAAUGCGUAGAUAUCAGGAGGAACACCUGCGGUGUAGACGGCUUACUGGACCAUAACUGACGCUGAGGCACGAAAGCGUGGGUAGCAAACAGG